rnacentral:rRNA from 1 species
CCUACGGGAGGCAGCAGUAGGGAAUCUUCCACAAUGGGCGAAAGCCUGAUGGAGCAACGCCGCGUGGGUGAAGAAGGUCUUCGGAUCGUAAAACCCUGUUGUUAGAGAAGAAAGUGCGUGAGAGUAACUGUUCACGUUUCGACGGUAUCUAACCAGAAAGCCACGGCUAACUACGUGCCAGCAGCCGCGGUAAUACGUAGGUGGCAAGCGUUAUCCGGAUUUAUUGGGCGUAAAGGUAACGCGGGCGGUCUUGUAAGUCUGAUGUUAAAGCCUUCGGCUUAACCGGAGUAGUGCAUUGGAAACUGGGAGACUUGAGUGCAGAAGAGGAGAGUGGAACUCCAUGUGUAGCGGUGAAAUGCGUAGAUAUAUGGAAGAACACCAGUGGCGAAAGCGGCUCUCUGGUCUGUAACUGACGCUGAGGUUCGAAAGCGUGGGUAGCAAACAGGAUUAGAUACCCUAGUAGUC